GGAAUUGUUCUGGUCAAUGUGGGAGCAACAGCAGAAAGGCCUGCAAACCUUUCCUAAACCUCAUCACUGAACAGCUUAACUUGGUGUGUUACACAGCGAAACAUGACUUCGAUUCAGUAGCUGGAUUUGCUACUUAUGUAUCUGUUUAAAACAAAGAGGGGAGUAGUGUACAAAAAAAAUGAGGCGAGCAGCCAACUGUAGCUGGAUUGGGGCUGAGAUCCCUCUGUCAUCUGAGAUUUUUAGCGCCAUUAAAAAUGAGCUGUGGCUCUUCCUUAUCCCGGCGGGCCUGGCUGUCAUUUUACUGGCGGUGUUCCUGGAGGAGGUGGGCUUCUUCUUGCGUCACUUUACCUCAUCCAGACGUAAACGCCUCUACCUGUGGAUAUUAGGAAUGUACCCGGUAAAAUCAGCCUCCUUAUUCACAUGGACCUCUUUCCUUUGACAACUUUUACAACUACAUCUUUUUUUCAGGUAUUUGCCUUGACAUCUCUCAUAGCACUGUAUGUUCCACGCUCGUCCUCACUGUGUAAUUUCAUUGCUUCACUGUAUCACUCUAUCACACUGCUGAAAUUUAUGCAGCUGAUCACAGACUUCUUUGGAGGGAAAGCUUGUAUGCUGGCUGCUUUGUCUGGGCAGCAGGUGUCUCCAGAUCCAUUCCCCUGCUGUUGCUGCUGCUGUCUUCCAAUGGUGUCAAUCAACAGCAGCAGCCACAGUUGGAUGAUGGCUGCUGUGUUGCAGCUCUCUGUUGUUCGGAGCAUUUUAUUCUUCGUUACUCUGGUCCUGUGGACAGAUGAACAGUAUGACUAUGGUGAUGUGAGUCACAAUCUGUGUUUAAUGAAUGAAAUGUGACUGGCCUUAGCUAAGCCCUAGUCUUUGUUUGUGUACAAGGCAGGAGAAAAUCUCUUGUGCUGUGAAAUGAGGCAGUGUCAAAACUGUAGGUUCCCCCAUGGCCUUUGUAGGCUCCAUCUGUGACUGUCAUCUCAACUCUACUUGUGCUACACCUCUUUGCUUGUAUAUGCUAAACAAGGAUUUUACAACCAAUUAAGCAGUUUGAUGUUGGUUUACAGC
rnacentral:lncRNA from 1 species